CCCGGGAAAUAUUCAGUUAAUACCUGAAGCUUAUAGUCAGCUAAACUUUCCAGAGAAUAUAUACUCACAUUUAAAGCAAAAACUUUUGUAUAUUUUCAAGGGAAAAAAAUACCGAAAAUUCAGAAUGAGAUUUUUUCUCAUUAUGUGGCUGUUAUUUUUACUGUAUCUUCGAGACAGUUCAGUCAGCUGCCAGGAGGUUUGGAUUCCACAACCUUUCCAGGAUGAUCGCUCCAAAUCUUAUUUCCUAAACUCUGUCAACAGAUUUCCAGAAUAUAAGCUUCCGAAAUCACCUAUUAUUGCUGGAGCAAUAAAAAAGCGAGUAGCAGCGAUGGGUGUGGAUUUACCAGACUACAUUUUGCAUUAUAGGGGAAAGUCCCCAGAUAUGGGAUCAUUCAGAGAGAGAAUGCAAAUCAGCGGCAGGUAAGGCAAAAUGGCGAUGAAUUGAAAAGAAAAGUAAAAGGAAAGACUUUUCCUGAAGACAACAUAAUAUCACAACAAAGCUAAC